rnacentral:snRNA from 1 species
AUCGCUUCUCGGCCUUUUGGCUAAGAUCAAGUGUAGAUAUGUCUAGAAAGAUACCAAAGCUAAUCAAUUGAAAGUUGCAUAUUAUGUUUCUCAUUAAGGUUGAUUUUUGCACAAUAACAAUAAUUAUAACAUUGAACCCUAU